GCGAUCAGCGUGACGUAUAAUUUAGUGGACGGGACGCUUCUUCAAUAACAUCUAGUCAGCCACCGCGGUAAUUUCCUAGCCGAAACAUUCAAGCUGUUUAGACUGCUUCGGUGCAUAUUUGGCUCUGUAUUUUAAGCAUAAUUCUGUCAUAUAACUAAUUUCCCCAUUUAAUGUCAUAUUUCCGUUUAGUCGGGUAACGGUAGCUGGCUUGAUAAAUUAGCCUAUCACUAGGCUAGUCGCUAACUAGCAAGGUUAGCUGGCUACCACAUCCUACCAUGAGCUCACCAAUCUACUGCCCUCCUGCUAAAGAAGAGGAGGUCUGCUGGACGGAGAAAGAGGGUCUGUGGCUGAACAUUGUCGUGAAAGAGGAGGAUGUCACAGUAAAACAAGAAGUAGAGGGUGAGGCUGUUACAGUGAAAGAAGAAGAGAAAGACGCGUUCAAAGUGAAAGAGGAGGAGGAUGUUACAAUAAAAGAGGAGGAUGCAGUUUUUGGAGUGAAGGAGGGAGAGAUAACUGUUACAUUGAAGGAGGAGAAGGAAGAACAUGAGCAGGAGGAGGAGACAGGCGAUCUGAUUCAAACCAGAGAGGGACCAGACUCUCACUCUGACAGCGUGGAGAGUCCUGCAGGGGAAUCGGACCCAGAGACGCACAAACCAGCGAGACAACACCGCUGUUCCCAGUGUGGAAAGAGUUUUAAGUGGUUAAGGAACCUCAAAGCACAUGAGAGAACGCAUACAGGAGAAAACCCUUACGAUUGCUCCCACUGUGGAAAGAGUUUUACCAAGUUAGGGAACCUAAAAGAGCAUGAGAGGACACACACAAGAGAAAAGCGUUUCCAAUGUUCCCAGUGUGGAAAGAGGUUUACCCAGUUACGGUACCUGAAACAACAUGAAGAAAUACACACAGAAGAUAGGAAGACCUACCACUGCUCUCAGUGUGGAAAGAUAUUUACUGGGUUAGGGAACCUGAAAAUACAUAUGAGAAUACACUCUGGAGAGAAGCCUUACCACUGUUCCCACUGUGUAAAGAGUUUUACUCAGUUAGGGAGCCUGAAAACACAUGAGAGGGGACACACUGGAGAGAAGCCUUAUCACUGUUCCCACUGUGAAAGGAAUUUUAGGUGGUAUGCGAGCCUGAAGGAGCAUGAGAGAAUACACACAGGAGAAAAGCCUUACCAAUGUUCCCGGUGUGAAAAGAGUUUUACCCAUCGAGGGAGCCUGAAAGCGCAUGAGAGAAUACACUCAGGAGAAAAGCCUUACCAAUGUUCCCGGUGUGAAAAGAGUUUUACCCGGUUAGGGAGCUUGAAAAGGCAUGAGAGAAAACACACGGGAGAAAAGCCUUUCCAACAUACUAAUACACAGGAGGAGAAGACAUACCACUGCUCUCAUUGUGAAAAGACAUUUUCCCAGUCAAAGGAUCUGAAAUCACACGAGAGAAUAGAGAGGCUGUGUUCUGACUUAUGUUUUUGAUUGAGAAAUUGUGUUUUUGUUCAUGCUACAUUAAAUCAUAUUGUAUGAAUGAAAUCAUACUGAAAAAUAGGUCUACGUUUUCUUUUCCAGCUCAAAACAUGAUAAUGUCGAAAGUCAGAUUAUAAGAGUUAACAAAAAUAUAUUAUGUUUUAAUUAUGAACUUAAGAUUGAUUGAAUGCAAGUGUAAACCCUGAAAUGUUGUUCACUAUAUAGUUGGGAUUUUUCAAACAUGUUAAUUAUUAAAUAGAUUGAUAUUAGUAUUUAUUCAUUAAGAUUGUCAUUGUAAAUGUGUAUUGGUUCUCAAUUUACAUAUCUGAUUAAAUAAAGGGAAGUCUAUUUGA